rfam:Nitrospirae bacterium RIFCSPHIGHO2_02_FTLL_42_12 rifcsphigho2_02_scaffold_43667, whole genome shotgun sequence.
UUUACCGUGAGGGAAAGUCCGAAGGGAGUCGAAGGCAAAGCGUUGUGCCUGACGAACAGAAACCGCAUAAGAGGCUGCCAUGCCGGAUGAGAAGGCAAGUAACUUCAAAGUCCAAUACCUGUACGGAAGGCAUGGAGGUAUAUGCGGCGGGCAUAAGCGGGAAGGUGGAAGCG